rnacentral:misc_RNA from 1 species
AAGUCGUAACAAGGUUUCCGUAGGUGAACCUGCGGAAGGAUCAUUAACACGUAUCCAACGUUAAAACAACCCUGUGAACCUUCAAUCUUGCUCGCGUGGCUCCAUGAAAGCAGCAAUCCCUGGUAAAUCAUUGUCGACCAGAUUUUGAGUCAGGGACCUCUGCCGAUGAGAGUUACGCUCGUAGCGAUGCAAGCGACCUGGCACCCCCAAGCAAUCAGAGUUCUGAAAGCGUCUUUGAUUGUGUAAGGGUGGCGCAAACACGAUCGUUGGAGGCCGACACGGCCGACGACCGCACUGUAACGCCGACAGGUCGCGAUAAUUCUGCUGACCACAAAAAACCGAACAACUGUUAACAAUGGAUAUCUUGGUUCUC